rnacentral:rRNA from 1 species
GACGAACGCUGGCGGCGUGCUUAACACAUGCAAGUCGAACGGAAAGGCCCUGCUUUUGUGGGGUGCUCGAGUGGCGAACGGGUGAGUAACACGUGAGUAACCUGCCCUUGACUUUGGGAUAACUUCAGGAAACUGGGGCUAAUACCGGAUAGGAGCUCCUGCUGCAUGGUGGGGGUUGGAAAGUUUCGGCGGUUGGGGAUGGACUGGCGGCUUAUCAGCUUGUUGGUGGGGUAGUGGCUUACCAAGGCUUUGACGGGUAGCCGGCCUGAGAGGGUGGCCGGCGACAUUGGGACUGAGAUACGGACCAGUCGGCUACGGGAGGCAGUAGUGGGGAGUAUUGCACAGUGGGCGGGAGCCUGAUGCAGCAACGCCGCGUGCGGGAUGACGGCCUUCGGGUGGUGAACCGCUGUCGCCUGUGACGAAGCGUGAGUGACGGUAAUGGGUAAAGAAGCACCGGCUAACUACGUG